CACAAAAUCACAAGGCGACCUAACCUUAUUAAAGUAAAUCUCCAAUUACUGGUAAAUACGGAUUAAAACAGAAGGAAAUUAAUAACCGUACCUU